rnacentral:rRNA from 1 species
ACCCGCACAAGCGGUGGAUGAUGUGGUUUAAUUCGAUGCAACGCGAAAAACCUUACCCACCUUUGACAUGGCAGGAAUCCUGAAGAGAUUUGGGAGUGCUCGAAAGAGAACCUGCACACAGGUGCUGCAUGGCUGUCGUCAGCUCGUGUCGUGAGAUGUUGGGUUAAGUCCCGCAACGAGCGCAACCCUUGCCAUUAGUUGCUACGAAAGGGCACUCUAAUGGGACUGCCGGUGACAAACCGGAGGAAGGUGGGGAUGACGUCAAGUCCUCAUGGCCCUUAUAGGUGGGGCUACACACGUCAUACAAUGGCCGGUACAGAGGGUAGCCAACCCGCGAGGGGGAGCCAAUCCCACAAAGCCGGUCGUAGUCCGGAUCGCAGUCUGCAACUCGACUGCGUGAAGUCGGAAUCGCUAGUAAUCGCGGAUCAGCAUGUCGCGGUGAAUACGUUCCCGGGUCUU